rnacentral:rRNA from 1 species
GAUGAACGCUGACAGAAUGCUUAACACAUGCAAGUCUUUGGCGAAGUUGUGCUUGCACCGCCUAGCCAAGGCGGACGGGUGAGUAACGCGUAAGGAACUUGCCCUGCAGUCAGGGAUAACAGACGGAAACGACUGAUAAGACCUGGUAAAGUCAGGCGGACUCAUGUCCAGCCUGAUGAAAAGAGAUGCUGCAGGAGAGCCUUGCGUCCUAUUAGCUUGUUGGUGGGGUAACGGCCCACCAAGGCGAUGAUAGGUAGCCGGCCUGAGAGGGUGGACGGCCACAAGGGGACUGAGAUACGGCCCUUACUCCUACGGGAGGCAGCAGUGGGGAAUAUUGGACAAUGGGGGCAACCCUGAUCCAGCAAUUCUGUGUGCACGAUGAAGGUUUUCGGAUUGUAAAGUGCUUUCAGCAGGGAAGAAAAAAUGACGGUACCUGCAGAAGAAGCGACGGCUAAAUACGUG